rnacentral:rRNA from 1 species
CCGGGCGCACGGGUGAGUAACACGUACCCAACCUGCCGUCUACCCUUGGACAGCCUUCUGAAAGGAAGAUUAAUACAAGAUGGCAUCAUGAGUCCGCAUGUUCACAUGAUUAAAGGUAUUCCGGUAGACGAUGGGGAUGCGUUCCAUUAGAUAGUAGGCGGGGUAACGGCCCACCUAGUCUUCGAUGGAUAGGGGUUCUGAGAGGAAGGUCCCCCACAUUGGAACUGAGACACGGUCCAA